GGUCAGAUCUUUGAAGAAGAAGAAGAAGAAGAAGAUGAAAGGCAAAAAAAGAUGAACUGCUGGAUUUACAUGUAUCUGAGGAUUUGUGAAAAAUAGAGUGAAAAUGAAGAGUGAAGGACUGGAGAGGUGGAAGGAACACUAUGAUUACCACAGUUUGGAAAAAGAAGAGAGGGGGUAUACGGACGAGGAGGCAUGCAAAGGCGUCACCCUUCCUACACCUCUGAAUAUAACUUGAAACCUGUUUGAUCACCAUGCACUGCAAAAUCAUUCUGGCUGUGGAUACGGAGAACAUCAACACAUUAACAUCAACACGCCAGAGGAUAUACCCAUUGGACUUGGGGCUUUAAAGGGAGUUUACCUCAUAAUUCGAUUUUUUUAUUCUGCUUUGCAACUAAAAUCAUAACAAACACUAACCACUAAA
rnacentral:lncRNA from 1 species